rnacentral:rRNA from 1 species
GGGCGCAAKYCUGAUGCAGCCMUGCCGCGUGUAUGAAGAAGGCCUUCGGGUUGUAAAGUACUUUCAGCGGGGAGGAAGGGAGUAAAGUUAAUACCUUUGCUCAUUGACGUUACCCGCAGAAGAAGCACCGGCUAACUCCGUGCCAGCAGCCGCGGUAAUACGGAGGGUGCAAGCGUUAAUCGGAAUUACUGGGCGUAAAGCGCACGCAGGCGGUUUGUUAAGUCAGAUGUGAAAUCCCCGGGCUCAACCUGGGAACUGCAUCUGAUACUGGCAAGCUUGAGUCUCGUAGAGGGGGGUAGAAUUCCAGGUGUAGNCGGUGAAAUGCGUAGAGAUCUGGAGGAAUACC